rnacentral:rRNA from 1 species
UGCGUAGGCGGGCUAAUAAGUCAGUGGUGAAAUCUUCCGGCUCAACCGGGAACCUGCCAUUGAUACUGUUAGUCUUGAGUUCGGUUGAGGUAGGCGGAAUGUGUAAUGUAGCGGUGAAAUGCUUAGAUAUUACACAGAACACCAAUUGCGUAGGCAGCUUACUAGACCGACACUGACGCUGAGGCACGAAAGCGUGGGGAGCGAACAGGAUUAGAUACCCUGGUAGUC